rnacentral:tRNA from 1 species
CCCUGGGUGGUGCAGAUCGUUAUCACGCUCAGCUGCUAACUGGGAGGUUGGUGGUUUGAGUCCACCCAGGGU